AUUAUUAGAAUACUGCUUCUUAAAAUUUUCUUAAUUCAACAUCGAGGUCGCAAAAUAUAAUAUAGAUAUGAACUCCCCAUUAAAAUUACGCUGUUAUCCCUAAGGUAACUUAAUCUUAUUGUCCAUUAAUCUAAGGGAUCAAAAAUCACAUAAACAAAUGAAUAUUAAAACUAAAGUUAAUUAUUUAGCAGCCACCCCAGCAAAAUAUAAUUUAAUAUCAAAAAAUAUUAUAAAUAAAACUUAAUGAAAUUUGAUUUAUAUAAAGUUCUAUAGGGUCUUAUCGUCCCAAUAAACUAACAAAGCAUUUUAACUUUGAAUUUAAAUUUUAAUACUCAAAAAAAUAAAAUAUAAUUCUCAUACAUCCAUUCAUACGAGCUUUCAAUUAAAAAACUAAUUACUAUGCUACCUUUGCACAGUCAAAAUACUGCAGCCAUUUAGAUAUUAACCAUAGGGCAGAAGAUACUUUCCAUAAAACCA
rnacentral:rRNA from 1 species